AUACGGAGGAUGCAAGCGUUACUCGGAAUCACUGGGCGUAAAGCGCGCGCAGGCGGCUUGAUAAGUUGGAUGUGAAAGCCUACGGCUCAACCGUAGAACUGCAUCCAAAACUGUCAAGCUAGAGUCUGGGAGGGGAAGAUGGAAUUAGUUGUGUAGGGGUAAAAUCCGUAGAGAUAACUAGGAAUACCAAAAGCGAAGGCGAUCUUCUGGGACAGUACUGACGCUGAGGCGCGAAAGCGUGGGGAGCAAACAGGAUUAGAAACCCGAGUAGUCC
rnacentral:rRNA from 1 species